rnacentral:rRNA from 1 species
AUUGAACGCUGGCGGCAGGCCUAACACAUGCAAGUCGAACGAGUGGCGGACGGGUGAGUAAUGGCUGGGAAACUGCCUGAUGUAGGGGGAUAACUACUGGAAACGUUAGCUAAUACCGCAUACCCUCCGUUGGGGCCAGAUGGGAUUAGCUAGUAGGUGGGGUAACGGCUCACCUAGGCGACGAUCCCUAGCUGGUCUGAGAGGCUGACCAGCCACACUGGGACUGAGACACGGUCCAGACUCCUACGGGAGGCAGCAGUGGGGAAUAUGGCACAAUGGGCGCAAGCCUGAUGCAGCCAUGCCGCGUGUGUGAAGAAGGCCUUCGGGUCGUAAAGUACUUUCAGCGGGGAGGCGUUACCCGCAGAAGAAGCCCCGGCUAACUCCGUGCCAGCAGCCGCGGUAAUUC